CCUACGGGAGGCAGCAGUGGGGAAUAUUGCACAAUGGGGGCAACCCUGAUGCAGCCAUGCCGCGUGUGUGAAGAAGGCCUUCGGGUUGUAAAGCACUUUCAGUUGUGAGGAAAGGUUAGUAGUUAAUACCUGCUAGCUGUGACGUUAACAACAGAAGAAGCACCGGCUAACUCCGUGCCAGCAGCCGCGGUAAUACGGAGGGUGCGAGCGUUAAUCGGAAUUACUGGGCGUAAAGCGCACGCAGGCGGUCUGUUAAGCUAGAUGUGAAAGCCCCGCGCUCAACGUGGGAGGGUCAUUUAGAACUGGCAGACUAGAGUCUUGGAGAGGGGAGUGGAAUUCCAGGUGUAGCGGUGAAAUGCGUAGAGAUCUGGAGGAACAUCAAUGGCGAAGGCAACUCCCUGGCCAAAGACUGACGCUCAUGUGCGAAAGUGUGGGUAGCGAACAGGAUUAGAUACCCUGGUAGUCCACACCGUAAACGAUGAAUGCCAGUCGUCGGGCAGUAUACUGUUCGGUGACACACCUAACGGAUUAAGCAUUCCGCCUGGGGAGUACGGUCGCAAGAUUAAAACUCAAAGGAAUUGACGG
rnacentral:rRNA from 1 species